ACAAGCUCGGGGUGUGUGGUUUGGGGCAUUGGGCUGGGGCUGGGGUGGGGGUUGCGCCUGGACGCUGGUGUGCGUGGGCAGUGUGCCGUUUGCGAGCUGGGUGGGGGGAAAAGCUUCCUAUGAAUUGCUGUGCGGGGGCCGCAUCUAGCAGGCACCCGUGGGCAAGUAUCUGCGAGUGUGCACACUGUGUUAGGUGUGCGUGUGUGUGUGCGUGUGUGCGCGCGCGCGCCUGUGUGCCUGUGUGACAAGCCGGCCUCCCUCUGGGCCUGGUGGCUGUCCCCUGAACCCUGCGAACAAAUCUCUAACAACAAUCAUAAUAACAAUAAAUAAUAAAUAACAAUAAAACGGUAGUUAACAGUCCCUCCCUAGCAGGAUAACAAUAAAAUGCAAGAGGAGAUAUUUUGAGGAGGGGCCGGGGAAGGAGCCGGGAUCACAGCAUCCGAGGGGAAGACAAGGGAGGAAGGAAGGAAGUUAGCUUCUUCCUAUGCCCUUGGAGGGCUGGAUUUAGGAACCCCCUCUCCAGACAAGGUCCUCCGGCCGGAGGAGGAAAGGGAGAGCCCCCGGAGGCCGCUCUUUCCUGCUUCGUUUUCUCCGGCUUUUGCUUUGUGCGAUCGGGGGAGGGAUCCCACAUAUAGGGGUGAAUUGUGGCUUUGGGGAGCCUCUGGAGCCCCUGUUUUAAAGAGGAGGGCAAGCAAAGAGGGUCACGGUGAGGGGGAGAAUGUGGGGGGGCAGAUGAGGCGAUGGACAGAGCCAGGGUCUUAAACACUCGGGCAACAGACGUGCCCCGGGGAGGACGUGCCGCCGGGUUUGGACGGAAGCAGAAAAACAUUUAUGGCCGCCCGAGAGAGGGGAGAGCAGGGCCGGGGUUUCCGGUAGGCCCAGGGAAAGUUCCCUUUCUAGGGGCUUUUCAAACACACAAACAAAAACAACAACAACAACAAAAAGAAAAGAAGAAGGAGGAGGAGGAGGAAGGAUUUGAGGCGCGCUGAAUUUUCCUUCGCGGGCUUGGAGCGAGCGGAUUGCCAUAAAGGAAGCGAAGACCACGAUCCCGGAUUCUUCCACGUCCACCUCAUUUUCUCCAGGCCUCUCCACUUUCCGGAUCUCUCAACCACCGGGAUUCUGACACAAUGGGGGCUCCUGGACUGCCCCCCAGCCACUCCUGGAUGGUUUCCCAAACCUAGCCACCUCCAACCCUCCUUGUGUGUUGGGGUGGGGAAUAGCUGUACCCAGACACCUCUGCACCCUGUCAUAUGUAAAGCGUGCUCACUUGAAGAAUAUCUUGAAAAAGAAGGAGAAGAAGAAGGAGGAGGAGGAGAAGGCAGGCCGGCUUAGAGCUGUGUUUACUUCUAGUCCUACUGAUCCGUUCUCAUCUGGAGACUUUAUUUAUAACCCCCACUAUAACUCUCUCUGUUUGGAGGCACUGGUGGUUCUAUUGACAGACUGAUGUCUAGAAAAUAUUGCUCUAUCUCUAACCAUCCCUAAAUGUGCUGUGCUUGUAUUUACAGAUUUAUGCUGGAGGAAAAUAUAAUUAUUUCCAUUGUA